rnacentral:rRNA from 1 species
CGUGAAAUUGUUGAAAGGGAAGCGUUUAUGACCAGACUUGGACUUGGUUAAUCAUCUGGGGUUCUCCCCAGUGCACUUUUCCAGUUCAGGCCAGCAUCAGUUUUCCCCGGGGGAUAAAGGCGGCGGGAAUGUGGCUCUCUUCGGGGAGUGUUAUAGCCCGCCGUGUAAUACCUUGGGGGGGACUGAGGUUCGCGCAUCUGCAAGGAUGCUGGCGUAAUGGUCAUCAACGACCCGUCUUGAAACACGG